CUACAUGAAGCUGGAAUCGCUAGUAAUCGUGGAUCAGAAUGCCGCGGUGAAUACGUUCCCGGGUCUUGUACACACCGCCCGUCACACCAUGGGAGCCGGUAACGCCCGAAGUCAGUGACCCAACCGAGAGGAGGGAGCUGCCGAAGGCGGGACAGGUAACUGGGGUGAAGUCGUAACAAGGUACC
rnacentral:rRNA from 1 species